rnacentral:misc_RNA from 1 species
AACGCACAUUGCGCCCGCCAGUAUUCUGGCGGGCAUGCCUGUUCGAGCGUCAUUUCAACCCUCAAGCCCAGCUUGGUGUUGGGAGCUGCAGUCCUGCUGCACUCCCCAAAUACAUUGGCGGUCACGUCGAGCUUCCAUAGCGUAGUAAUUUACAUAUCGUUACUGGUAAUCGUCGCGGCCACGCCGUUAAACCCCAACUUCUGAAUGUUGACCUCGGAUCAGGUAGGAAUACCCGCUGAACUUAA